GGGGUUGACGCGGGGAAGUGAAACAUCUCAGUACCCGUAGGAGAAGAAAACAAUUGUGAUUCCGUGUGUAGUGGCGAGCGAUAGCGGAUGAGGCUAAACCGUGUGCGUGUGAUACCUGGCAGGGGUUGCGUGUGUGGUGUUGUGGGGUGCAGUGUUUCUGGGCUGCUGACCAGGAGCGUGCGCGUGCGUGUUAGCGGAAGCAUCUGGGAUGGUGCGCCGGAGUGGGUGAGAGUCCUGUACGUGAAGGCGUGUGCGUGUGUGUUGUUGUUGCCCCGAGUAGCAGCGGGCUCGUGGAAUCUGCUGUGAAUCUGCCGGGACCACCCGGUAAGCCUAAAUACUCAGUGUGACCGAUAGUGGAUAGUACCGUGAGGGAAUGGUGAAAAGUACCCCGGGAGGGGAGUGAAAGAGUUCCUGAAACCGGUCGCAUGCAAGCCGUCAGAGCCUGUGUGGUGAUGGCGUGCCUUUUGAAGAAUGAGCCUGCGAGUUAGUGAUGCGUGGCGAGGUUAACCCGUGGUGGGGGAGUCGUAGCGAAAGCGAGUCCGAUAAGGGCGUGAGUCGCGUGUUCUAGACCCGAAGCGGUGUGAUCUAUCCAUGGCCAGGAUGAAGCGUCGGUAAGACGUCGUGGAGGUCCGAACCCACUUCAGUUAAAAAUGGAGGGGAUGAGUUGUGGAUAGGGGUGAAAGGCCAAUCAAACACCGUGAUAGCUGGUUCUCCCCGAAAUGCAUUUAGGUGCAGCGUUGCGUGGUUCUUGUUGGAGGUAGAGCACUGGAUGGUCUAGGGGGCUUAUCGGCUUACCGAAAUCAGCCAAACUCCGAAUGCUGGCAAGUGUAGCGUGGCAGUGAGACGGCGGGGGAUAAGCUUCGUCGUCGAGAGGGAAACAGCCCAGAUCAUCAGCUAAGGCCCCUAAGUGGUGACUCAGUGGGAAAGGAUGUGGAGUUGCGUAGACAACCAGGAGGUUGGCUUGGAAGCAGCCAUCCUUGAAAGAGUGCGUAAUAGCUCACUGGUCAAGUGAUUCCGCGCCGAUAAUGUAGCGGGGCUUAAGUUAUCCGCCGAAGCUGUGGCAACCUGUGUGGUUGGGUAGGGGAGCGUCGUGUCAGUGGUGAAGCUGCCGGGUGACUGUGUGGUGGAGUUGAUGCGAGUGAGAAUGCAGGCAUGAGUAGCGUGUGACGGGUGGGAAUCCCGUCCGCCGAUUAUCCAAGGGUUCCAGGGUCAAGUUUGUCUGCCCUGGGUGAGUCGGGUCCUAAGGCGAGGCCGACAGGCGUAGUCGAUGGGUAACCAGUUGAUAUUCUGGUACCGGCUUGUCACCGUCCGUGUCGAGGUGUGUGAUGCUAAGCAUGUGAGCUUGUCUUGGGAGUGUUUUUGAUGCUUCUGGGGUGGGUGAGUGUGUGAACCGAUCAUGUAGUAGGCAAGCUGCGGAGGGACGCAGUGAGGUAGCUCAUCCCCGGUGAUGGUUGUCCGGGGCUAAGUGUGUGGACUGUCUGGUAGGUAAAUCCGCUGGGCGUGAAGGUUGAGGCAUGAUGGGGAGCCCAUGGUUGUGGGUGAGUGAGUGAUCCUGUACUGUCGAGAAAAGCUUCGUGAGCGAGGUGGCGGGUCCGCCCGUACCCUAAACCGACACUGGUGGAUUGGUAGAGUAUACCGAGGCGAUCGAGUGAAUCGUGGUGAAGGAACUCGGCAAAAUGCCCCCGUAACUUUGGGAUAAGGGGGACCUGAGCUGUCGUGCACCCGUGCGGUGUGGUGGCGGUGAGGGGCGCAGAGUCCAGGGGGAAACGACUGUUUACCAAAAACACAGGUCCGUGCGAAGUCGUAAGACGAUGUAUACGGACUGACUCCUGCCCGGUGCUGGAAGGUUAAGGGGGGGAGUUAGCUUCGGCGAAGCUCUGAACUGAAGCCCCAGUAAACGGCGGCCGUAACUAUAACGGUCCUAAGGCAGCG
rnacentral:rRNA from 13 species